AUUGAACGCUGGCGGCAUGCCUUACACGUGCAAGUCGAACGGUAACAGGUCUUCGGAUGCUGACGAGUGGCGCACGGGUGAGUAAUACAUCGGAACGUGCCCGAUCGUGGGGGAUAACGAGGCGAAAGCUUUGCUAAUACCGCAUACGAUCUACGGAUGAAAGCGGGGGAUCUUCGGACCUCGCGCGGACGGAGCGGCCGAUGGCAGAUUAGGUAGUUGGUGGGAUAAAAGCUUACCAAGCCGACGAUCUGUAGCUGGUCUGAGAGGAUGAUCAGCCACACUGGGACUGAGACACGGCCCAGACUCCUACGGGAGGCAGCAGUGGGGAAUUUUGGACAAUGGGCGAAAGCCUGAUCCAGCCAUGCCGCGUGCAGGAUGAAGGCCUUCGGGUUGUAAACUGCUUUUGUACGGAACGAAAAGCCUCUUUCUAAUAAAGAGGGGUCAUGACGGUACCGUAAGAAUAAGCACCGGCUAACUACGUG
rnacentral:rRNA from 1 species